GAAUUUAAUAUAAAUAUUAAUUAUUUAAUUUAAUUUUUAAAAAAAGUAAUAUUUAUAUUUUAUUGGGAGGAUAAUUUAAUUUAAUUAACUUAAAGUAUAAAAAAAUCAUUAAUUAAUGGAUUAAUUAAAAUAAAAAUUAAUAAUAAAUUUUUUUAUUUUUAAUAUUAAUAAUUAAUAAAUAGUAUUUUAAAAAUUAAUUAUAUAUUUAUAUUUAAAUAAGAAAAUUUAAAAAAAAAUUAAUUACCUUAGGGAUAACAGCAUAAUAUUUUUUGAAAGAUCAUAUUAAAAAAAAUGUUUGU
rnacentral:rRNA from 1 species